CUUACUUCCUCCUCCUCAAUCAUCACAAACGUGGCUUGAGGAAAGAUCGUGUCAGUUUGUCAUGAUUCAAUAAUUCCCCUUUUCAGGUUUGUCUCUGGACCACCAGGCACUUUCUUCAGUGUCUCGUAUCCGUCUGCUGGAGAGGGAGGAAGAGAGUCUUUCCUGUUACCUCAAAGCUUGUGACGCUGCUCUGUCCUACCUGCAGGAGCUUGAUAAGGCUGUGACCUUCAGCAUCUACUGGGGCUUGUUGCAGCUGAGUGUGAAGCUUGUCGGAUGAGACUCAGCACCUCCAAGUCCAAGGCCAUGGUUCUCAG